AGAGUUUGAUCAUGGCUCAGGAUGAACGCUAGCGGCAGGCCUAACACAUGCAAGUCGAGGGGUAACAUAGAAAAGCUUGCUUUUCUGAUGACGACCGGCGAACGGGUGCGUAACGCGUAUACAAUCUGCCUUAUACUGGGGUAUAGCCUUUAGAAAUGAAGAUUAAUCCCCCAUAGCCUCUUUUAAUGGCAUCAUUAUAAGAGUAAAGGUUACGGUAUAAGAUGAGUAUGCGUUCUAUUAGUUUGUUGGUGAGGUAACGGCUCACCAAGACUGCGAUAGAUAGGGGCCCUGAGAGGGGGAUCCCCCACACUGGUACUGAGACACGGACCAGACUCCUACGGGAGGCAGCAGUGAGGAAUAUUGGACAAUGGAGGCAACUCUGAUCCAGCCAUGCCGCGUGCAGGAAGACUGCCCUAUGGGUUGUAAACUGCUUUUAUACAGGAAGAAACCUUGGUACGUGUACCAAGCUGACGGUACUGUAAGAAUAAGGAUCGGCUAACUCCGUGCCAGCAGCCGCGGUAAUACGGAGGAUCCAAGCGUUAUCCGGAAUCAUUGGGUUUAAAGGGUCCGUAGGUGGAUAAUUAAGUCAGAGGUGAAAUCUUGCAGCUCAACUGUAAAAUUGCCUUUGAUACUGGUUAUCUUGAGUCAUUAUGAAGUAGUUAGAAUAUGUAGUGUAGCGGUGAAAUGCAUAGAUAUUACAUAGAAUACCAAUUGCGAAGGCAGAUUACUAAUAAUGUACUGACACUGAUGGACGAAAGCGUGGGUAGCGAACAGGAUUAGAUACCCUGGUAGUCCACGCCGUAAACGAUGGUUACUAGCUGUGUGGACUUCGGUCUGCGUGGCUAAGCGAAAGUGAUAAGUAACCCACCUGGGGAGUACGUUCGCAAGAAUGAAACUCAAAGGAAUUGACGGGGGCCCGCACAAGCGGUGGAGCAUGUGGUUUAAUUCGAUGAUACGCGAGGAACCUUACCAGGGCUUAAAUGUAAGUUGCAUUAGCUAGAGAUAGCUAUUUCUUCGGACCACUUACAAGGUGCUGCAUGGUUGUCGUCAGCUCGUGCCGUGAGGUGUCAGGUUAAGUCCUAUAACGAGCGCAACCCCUGUUGUUAGUUGCCAGCGAGUCAUGUCGGGAACUCUAACAAGACUGCCGGUGCAAACCAUGAGGAAGGUGGGGAUGACGUCAAAUCAUCACGGCCCUUACGUCCUGGGCUACACACGUGCUACAAUGGUCGGUACAGAGAGCAGCCACUGCGCGAGCAGGAGCGAAUCUAUAAAACCGAUCACAGUUCGGAUCGGAGUCUGCAACUCGACUCCGUGAAGCUGGAAUCGCUAGUAAUCGGAUAUCAGCCAUGAUCCGGUGAAUACGUUCCCGGGCCUUGUACACACCGCCCGUAA
rnacentral:rRNA from 1 species